rnacentral:lncRNA from 1 species
GGCUCUUUCUUCACGUAUACACCUUCUUUCUUCCUUUCUCUUCAUCUUUUCAUCGAGCUUUUGUUGUUCUUAUUUUGCUUUUCUUUUUGCUUCUCUUCUUGCUCUUCUUUCUUUCUUUCUUUCUUUCUUUCUUUCUUUCUACAUAAGUGGUCUUGUCAUCCUUGAGGGUGGUGUUACUUGCUGUCGAAAGGGACAUAUCACUACUGCUGCUAGCAUCUUCGAUAAGCACACCACCAUCUUUUGGCUCAUGAGUGCCUCUAGAACCUCCUCCGACUUCCAUACUUCACGUGGUGAAGCGUAACUGAAGCAACCUGCUUUG